AAUGCGAUACGUAGUGUGAAUUGCAGAAUUCCGUGAACCAUCGAAUCUUUGAACGCAUAUUGCGCUCGACUCCUCGGAGAAGAGCAUGUCUGCCUCAGCGUCGGUUUUCA
rnacentral:rRNA from 1 species